AUACUCCUGAAAAAAAGAACAGGAGAUUAGGGGCAUUGCAAAUAUUGGCAUUUUCUGUUCUUAAACACCACAGCUUUACAAUUUUCUCAAAGAAGCAAUAAAUUUGCCAUGAAGGUUUCAGGCAUGCAUCCAAAACACAGUUCAUCAACUUGACAAAUGUAUAAAUCAGUGAUUCAGGUGGACAUUUGGAUUGCUUAGACAUGACAAGCAAAAAAAAACCGAUGAUUGUUCUUUUUUGUGGGUACCUAUCUGCAGUGAAACCAAAUGUCUAUUUUCACAGUACAAGGCAAAGCUUUCAAAUAGACAUAAUGUGAAACAGCAGGACUGUGCUUUGGUUUGUGAAGCAAAAUCACACAAGCUUACACAAAGAUGCCUUAAAACUUGUAAAUAGGUUUAUACCUCUAAAAAUUAAAUUAUACAUGAUUCAGUUGACUAUGUAUUUCAUAAUUUCUGGGAUUGUGAAUAUCAUAUCAACAACACAAAAUUUGCAAAUCAGGGUGUUUUCUUUUUUUUGAGGCAGAUCAUCGUUUCAAAUUUGACUGAGAUGACAACAAUAACUGUAAAAAUAAAUUAUUGCCAUUUGGACCACUGAAGGAGCAGGCAAAGAAACUGUUCUUUAUGUGUGUUUUCUCUCCACAAGCAGAACAGAUAUACAAUCUCCAUACAUUUUUUCAGAAGCAACUUGAGAAACUGCAAGUCACUUCUGGUGUGAGAGAAUUGGCCAUCUACAAGGAAGAUGCCCAGGGGACACACGGAUGUUUUGAUGUUUUACCAUCCUUGUGGGAGGCUUCUCUCAUGUCCCCGCAUGGGGAGCUGGAGCUGACAGAGGGAGCUCUCCCAGCUCUCCCCAGAUUCGAACCAGCAACCUUCAGGUCAGCAACCCAGCCUUCAAGUCAGCAGUCCUCCUGGCACAAGGGUUUAUUGCGCUAAUGGAGGCUCCAUCACAAUAAGCCCACCCAGCCGGAUAUUUUGCAGCAGAUACCAAAGCAUACCGAGGCAUUGAAAGGGCGCACGGCAGAGUAAGGUAAGGUAGGUGGCAGAAAGACC